rnacentral:rRNA from 1 species
AUGAGAUUUCCCUCGCCCAGGGACGUAGACAAGGCAUGUUUCGCUGAAACCAUGAAUAUAAAAAGUUGUUGGGCUGUGGUAAGUCUUAAGAAGUGGUCUGAAUCUGUUGGUGCCAAGGGUGUACUUAACAUUGCUUGGGUCAAUGUUAGCAACAUCCCUUUGGACAAAAGGCAUGAAAUGAACAUUGCAUAUGUUGGAUCUUUGGUGGGUGUGACCUUGGAAAUUGAUAAAUCCACUGUGAACAGACCUGAAUCGGUCAGAAUUAAGUUGGGUUGCAGAGAUGCUGAAAAUAUCCCAGGAAAAGCUGAGGGAGUGCUGGGUGACCACUUCUAUGAUUUCUUCUACUCUGUUGACAAGAUUCUGGUUAAAAAUCCUCCAAAAGAAAGUGUUACUAUGGCCCAGGAAUCUGACAAAGGUGUGUCACCAAAGAGAGCUAGGAUUAAUGAAAAUAUUCGAAAUGCUGGGCAGGGGGACUCCUCUUCUACUAUGGGGAACCUCUCUGUCCCACCAAACUCUGUUGGAAAUGGAGGUAAUAUGACUACUGUAAAUGAAAGAGUGGAAGAAGAGGAAGAGGAUGGGGUGAAACAAAAAGAGAGUGAGGAAAAUUUCUCUGAGGAAGAAAGUGAAGAGGUGGACAAUGAACUUCUUAUUGAUACCCUUGCUGCUGAGAACAUGAAGGAGCAGGCGGAAGGAGUGUAA